CCUACGGGAGGCAGCAGUAAGGAAUCUUCCGCAAUGGGCGAAAGCCUGACGGAGCAACGCCACGUGGGCGAUGAAGGCCUUCGGGUCGUAAAGCCCUUUUCUGUGGGACGAUAAUGACGGUACCACAGGAAUAAGCCACGGCUAACUCCGUGCCAGCAGCCGCGGUAAUACGGAGGGUGCGAGCGUUGUUCGGAAUUAUUGGGCGUAAAGCGCGUGUAGGCGGUUUGUUAAGUCUGAUGUGAAAGCCCCGGGCUCAACCUGGGAAGUGCAUUGGAUACUGGCAGACUUGAGUACGGGAGAGGAGAGUGGAAUUCCCAGUGUAGGAGUAAAAUCCGUAGAUAUUGGGAGGAACACCGGUGGCGAAGGCGGCUCUCUGGACCGAUACUGACGCUGAGACGCGAAAGCGUGGGGAGCAAACAGGAUUAGAUCCCCGGGUAGU
rnacentral:rRNA from 1 species